rnacentral:rRNA from 1 species
CAGAUUGAACGCUGGCGGCAUGCUUUACACAUGCAAGUCGAACGGUAACAGCACUUCGGUGGCUGACGAGUGGCGAACGGGUGAGUAAUACAUCGGAACGUGCCUAGUAGUGGGGGAUAACUACUCGAAAGAGUAGCUAAUACCGCAUGAGAUCUACGGAUGAAAGCAGGGGACCUUCGGGCCUUGUGCUACUAGAGCGGCUGAUGGCAGAUUAGGUAGUUGGUGGGAUAAAAGCUUACCAAGCCGACGAUCUGUAGCUGGUCUGAGAGGACGACCAGCCACACUGGGACUGAGACACGGCCCAGACUCCUACGGGAGGCAGCAGUGGGGAAUUUUGGACAAUGGGCGCAAGCCUGAUCCAGCAAUGCCGCGUGCAGGAUGAAGGCCUUCGGGUUGUAAACUGCUUUUGUACGGAACGAAAAGCCUUCUUCUAAUACAGGAGGGUCAUGACGGUACCGUAAGAAUAAGCACCGGCUAACUACGUGCCAGCAGCCGCGGUAAUACGUAGGGUGCAAGCGUUAAUCGGAAUUACUGGGCGUAAAGCGUGCGCAGGCGGUCUUGUAAGACAGAGGUGAAAUCCCCGGGCUCAACCUGGGAACUGCCUUUGUGACUGCAAGGCUGGAGUACGGCAGAGGGGGAUGGAAUUCCGCGUGUAGCAGUGAAAUGCGUAGAUAUGCGGAGGAACACCGAUGGCGAAGGCAAUCCCCUGGGCCUGUACUGACGCU